rnacentral:rRNA from 1 species
GCAUAUCAAUAAGCGGAGGAAAAGAAACCAACAGGGAUUACCUCAGUAACGGCGAGUGAAGCGGUAACAGCUCAAAUUUGAAAUCUGGCUCUUUUAGGGUCCGAGUUGUAAUUUGUAGAAGAUGCUUUGGGCGUGGCUCCGGUCUAAGUUCCUUGGAACAGGACGUCAUAGAGGGUGAGAAUCCCGUAUGUGACUGGUAGCUUUCGCCCGUGUAAAGCUCUUUCGACGAGUCGAGUUGUUUGGGAAUGCAGCUCAAAAUGGGUGGUAAAUUUCAUCUAAAGCUAAAUAUUGGCCAGAGACCGAUAGCGCACAAGUAGAGUGAUCGAAAGAUGAAAAGCACUUUGGAAAGAGAGUUAAACAGUACGUGAAAUUGUUGAAAGGGAAGCGCUUGCAACCAGACUCGCAGGCCGUCGAUCAUCCGGGGUUCUCCCCGGUGCACUCGGCGGUUUUCGGGCCAGCAUCGGUUUGGGUGGUGGGAUAAAGGCCUUGGGAAUGUAGCUUCUUUCGGGGAGUGUUAUAGCCCUCGGUGCAAUGCCGCCUACCCGGACCGAGGACCGCGCUUCGGCUAGGAUGCUGGCGUAAUGGUUGUAAGCGACCCGUCUUGAAACACGGACCAAGGAGUCUAACAUCUAUGCGAGUAUUUGGGUGUUAAACCCAUAUGCGUAAUGAAAGUGAACGGAGGUGAGAACCCUUAAGGGUGCAUCAUCGACCGAUCCUGAUGUCUUCGGAUGGAUUUGAGUAAGAGCAUAGCUGUUGGGACCCGAAAGAUGGUGAACUAUGCCUAAAUAGGGUGAAGCCAGAGGAAACUCUGGUGGAGGCUGGCAGCGGUUCUGACGUGCAAAUCGAUCGUCAAAUUUGGGUAUAGGGGCGAAA